rnacentral:lncRNA from 1 species
AAAUUGGUUCGUUAAAGCAGUGAUGAACGAUGAGGGUUUGUAAUUGUGGGGUAAUAAUAUGUGAAGCAAACUUUAUUUUGGUUCCAUCUUUCACCUUUUCUUUUUCCAUAAACAUAAAAAAAGCUUUAACAAAUGGAAAACAUAAAAAAAAAUAAAAAAAAUUAAGUUAAAAGAAAUGGAGAAGGGAGAAAAAUAGAGGGAGAAACAUAAGAGAAUGGGAAAAAGAAAAAAAAAGGAUAAAGUUAAAAGAAUAUAAAAGAAAAAAAAUUAAAUUGCUG